UCCCCUAGUAACGGCGAGUGAACCGGGAAGAGCUCAAAUUUGAAAUCUGGCGUCCUUCGGGCGUCCGAGUUGUAAUCUAUAGAAACGUUUUCCGUGCCGGACCGUGUCCAAGUCCCUUGGAACAGGGUAUCAGAGAGGGUGACAAUCCCGUACUUGACACGACGACCGGUGCUCUGUGAUACGUUCUCUACGAGUCGAGUUGUUUGGGAAUGCAGCUCAAAAUGGGUGGUAAACUCCAUCUAAAGCUAAAUAUUGGUGGGAGACCGAUAGCGAACAAGUACCGUGAGGGAAAGAUGAAAAGCACUUUGGAAAGAGAGUUAAACAGUAUGUGAAAUUGUUGAAAGGGAAACGAUUGAAGUCAGUCGUGACCGUUGGGUUCAGCCGGUUCUGCCGGUCUACUCCCUUCGGUCGGGUCAACAUCGGUUUUGACCGGCGGAUAAGGAAGGGAGGAAUGUGGCACCCUCCGGGGUGUGUUAUAGCCUCUCGUCGCAUACGUCGGUCGAGACCGAGGAACGCAGCUCGCCUUUAUGGCCGGGGUUCGCCCACNNUCCGAGCUUAGGAUGUUGACAUAA
rnacentral:rRNA from 1 species